UCUGCCUCCUGUCACUCACAUGCUGUCCUGCUAACUCAUACAGGCUUCCACUGUGAGCUCCGUGUAAGCCCCGCCCCCCAGUGCAGCCAUAGCCAAUAGCCUGCAGCAUCUUGCUGCAGGCAUCCAAUGAGCUGCUGGCUGCCCUCCCCUUCCUUUCCUAUAGAGCUGUAGUCGGCAGGAUGGUAAUGGAGGACAUUCUGUCCCCCCUGAAGAGACCUUUACCAGGGUGCCCCGGGGGUCUGAUACCCCCAUGGUUCACUAGAACAAAGCUGCUAAAGCAACGGGAAGAAGAAAGAAAGAAGAAGAGAAGAAGAAAUCUCUAGAAGACCCUAUGGACGGGGCAUAUUGAGACAGAUAUAGUAACUGUUGGUAUUGGACACCUUUAGAAACUUUUCUUGACAGCUACUUUGCAUAUCACAAGCAAUAAAAAACUGAACAAA